rnacentral:siRNA from 1 species
UGACAUCUUAUAAAGAUGUAUGGU